rnacentral:rRNA from 1 species
GAUGAACGCUAGCUACAGGCUUAACACAUGCAAGUCGCGGGGCAGCAUUCCUUAGCUUGCUAAGGAAGAUGGCGACCGGCGCACGGGUGAGUAACGCGUAUCCAACCUUCCCAUGUCCACGGGAUAGCCCGUCGAAAGGCGGAUUAAUACCGUAUGAGGUCACAUGCGGGCAUCUAAUUGUGACGAAAGGUUUAGCGGACAUGGAUGGGGAUGCGUCCGAUUAGCUAGUUGGCGGGGUAACGGCCCACCAAGGCGACGAUCGGUAGGGGUUCUGAGAGGAAGGUCCCCCACAUUGGAACUGAGACACGGUCCAAACUCCUACGGGAGGCAGCAGUGAGGAAUAUUGGUCAAUGGACGUAAGUCUGAACCAGCCAAGUAGCGUGCAGGAUGACGGCCCUAUGGGUUGUAAACUGCUUUUAUGCGGGGAUAAAGUGAGGGAUGUAUCCCUUUUUGCAGGUACCGCAUGAAUAAGGACCGGCUAAUUCCGUG